CCAAUAGCGUAUAUUAAAGUUGCUGCAGUUAAAAAGCUCGUAGUUGAAUUUCGGGAUCAAUAUGUUGGUCGUGCCUCGGUACGUACUAGCUUAUUGGUUUCUCCCUUCUGACGAACCAUGAUGUCAUUUAUUUGGUGUUAUGGGAAAUCAGGACUGUUACUUUGAAAAAAUUAGAGUGUUUAAAGCAGGCCCACGCUUGAAUACAUUAGCAUGGAAUAAUGAAAUAGGACGUUUGAUUCUAUUUUGUUGGUUUCUAGGAUCGACGUAAUGAUUAAUAGGGAUAGUUGGGGGCAUUAGUAUUCAAUUGUCAGAGGUGAAAUUCUUGGAUUUAUUGAAGACUAACUACUGCGAAAGCAUUUGCCAAGGAUGUUUUCAUUAAUCAAGAACGAAAGUUAGGGGAUCGAAGACGAUCAGAUACCGUCGUAGUCUUAACCAUAAACUAUGCCGACUAGGGAUCGGAUGAUGUUAAUUUUUUAAUGACUCAUUCGGCGCCUUACG
rnacentral:rRNA from 1 species